CAACAACAAUGCCUUAUUAUUUACAAAAAUGUCAUGGCACUGGUAGGCUGCCGUUCUCUGAGCAUCACAAGGCUGUAUAGCUGCCAUUUUUAUUUCAGCUUUUGCUUCUGAUGGUUUGUUGCAGAGGAAGUGCAGACAUCUGGAUAGGAAUCAUAUAAUUAGUGACUAGAAAGCACUAGUCGAGACAUACAGUGCUGCGAUGGAUGCAAUUGGUGUUUCCUACUCGAACCCAUUGGAGGACUACGAGAUGAUUCACCGGAUCGGUAGUGGUACAUACGGAGACGUAUUUAAGGCACGAAACAUCAAGACAUCCGUGAUCUCUGCAAUCAAAGUUGUAAAACUAGAUCCUGGUGAUGACAUCUUAUCUAUCCAGCAGGAGAUUACCAUGAUUAAAGAAUGCACUCACAAGAACAUUGUGGCCUAUUUCGGCAGCUACCUCAGAAAUAACAAGCUGUGGAUUUGCAUGGAGUACUGCGGAGGAGGUUCCCUGCAGGACAUUUAUCAUGUUACUGGCCCCCUGAAUGAGAGGCAGAUUGCAUAUGUGUGCAGGGAAACACUACAGGGACUGCAUCACUUACAUGAGACUGGGAAAAUGCAUAGAGACAUAAAGGGAGCAAACGUUCUUCUGACAGAGCGAGGAGAUGUCAAACUGGCGGAUUUUGGCGUUGCAGCUGAGAUCAACGCCUCCGUUGCCAAGAGGAAGUCAUUCAUAGGCACGCCUUACUGGAUGGCACCCGAGGUGGCAGCAGUGGAGAAGAAAGGUGGCUACAACCAGCUAUGUGACAUCUGGGCAGUGGGCAUCACCGCUAUCGAGCUGGCAGAGCUUCAGCCUCCCAUGUUUGACCUGCACCCCAUGAGGGCCUUGAUGAUGAUGUCAAAGAGCAGCUUCCAGCCACCCAAACUAAAGGACAAGGCCAAAUGGUCUGCAGACUUUCACAGCUUUGUGAAAAUAUCCCUCACCAAGAACCCUCGCAAGAGGCCCAGUUCGGAGAAACUGUUACAGCACCCCUUUGUGAGUCAACUGCUGACCAGGACUCUGGCCAUUGAACUGCUGGACAUGGCCAGCAACCCUGUUCUGCAAACCACACACACUAUGGAUGAGAGUGAUCUUGAUACAUGCAGUGCAUUCCCUGAUCAGAUCCAUUCCUUAGCGAAACACCUGCCGGUCCAAAGGACUCAGUCUGAGGAGCAGUUUGAUCUGCUGAAAUUUGGGCCUCCCAUGAGGAAGGAGACUGAGCUCUCUCCUGACCUGGGAUCAUAUGACGAAUGGAGCAUUACAGGAGAUGAGAAGAACUCACCAAGUCUACUGGAGUGUGUUGAGGAAGCUUUACUUGAAAGGAGGUUAACCAUAAAGAGAGCGCCCUCUGCUGAGCACUCUCCUGAAGAUGAGGACAUGGAUAAAAGUGGUACCGUGAAGCGGAGUGGGCUCCUCAGCCCUGCCUUAAGGCAUAGCAUCUCCCCAUCCACUGACUCGACUCCUCCCACUGUCACACCUCCAGUCGCAGACUCCGCCCUGGCUGAACCCUCUCUCUUCAACUCCACUAUCUUCUCAGACCUCUCACUUUCCUCCAACUGCUCGUUUGAAGAGGGCAGUGAGUCAAAGGGACGUUGGCCUGGAGAGACAUCCUACAUGGCCCUGGGGCCCCCACUGUCUCCAGAAUGGAGCACACUGAGGAGGAGAACUGAGGACUCGAGAGGUGAUUGUCAUGGACUUCCACCCACGCCCAAAGUCCAUAUGGGGGCCUGUUUUUCCAAGGUGUUUAAUGGCUGUCCAUUGAAGAUUCACUGUGCUGUCACAUGGGUCCUGCCAAAGACUAAAGAUCAACACCUCAUCCUGGGGACGGAGGAGGGCAUUUACACCCUGAACCUCAACGAGCUCCAUGAGGACACCAUGGAGAAGUUAUUACCCCAGAGGUGCAGCUGGCUGUAUGUAAUGAACAACGUGCUAAUGUCUAUCUCAGGGAAAUCAUCCCAGCUGUGCUCCCAGAGGCUGACUACCCUGUUUGACCGUAGACAUCUGCAGAAGAGGCAGGGCCACCUGUACAUCAACGCCCACCGCCUCACUGAGAGGAUCAACUCAAGAAAGUUUUCUGUGUCUGGGAAGAUAUCAGACACCAAAGGCUGUCGACGCUGCAGUGUUGUGCAUAACCCGUACACUGACAGCACAUUUUUGUGUGCUGUUGUACCAACUGGCCUUGUCCUACUUUUAUGGUAUGAGCCUCUUCAGAAGUUCAUGCAACUCAAGUACAUAGCUGUGAGUCUCCCAGAAACCCUCCCUAUCUUUGAGCUGCUUGUCCUGGAGACUGAUGAGCUGCCACAGGUGUGUGUAGGUGUGAGUAGGCUACAGACCCCUGUCAAGACCUGUGAGCGGGUCCACUUUGACAUCAUCCACCUGAAUGACACACCAAGAGCCCAGUCAGAUAGUCGAUCUAUGAAGGUGAUGCAGGUAACCCAGCUGGACAGAGACACAGUCCUGAUCGGUCUGGAGAAUACUGUGAACAUUGUGAACCUGGAUGGCAGCCCAAGCAAAGGGAUGACCUCAAAGUUGACCUUUGACUUUUCCAUUGAGACUCUUGGUAAGGGAAUAGAUGCGUUCGGAUUUCUAAUAAUUUAGCUUGGUCUCUGGAUUGGAGCAGAGGAGGCUGCUGGGCGGGGGGGGGGGGGGGGCUCAUAAUGUCUGGAAUGGAGUCAAUGGAAAGGUAUCAAACGUGGUUGAGACCAUUCCAUUGACUCCUUUCCAGCCAUUACUAUGAGCCGUCCUCCCCUCAGCAGCCUCAACUGGAUAGGAGGUGAAUAAAUUGUUCUUUGCAGUAUGUUUGCAGGACAGUGUUCUGGCUUUCUGGAAGCAUGGGCUUAAAGGUAGAAGCCUACAUAGUGAUGAGGUUACACAAGAGAUCACGGAUGAAAGUCGAAUAUUCAGAGUCUUGGGAACCUCAAGGGACAUUAUCUUGCAGAGUACUCCCACGGACAAUCCAUCAGCCUUAAGCAACUUGUACAUCCUGACAGGUCAUGAGAGUAGCUACUGAAGAAAUCAGAGAAUGGAGGACCUUCUGUCUCGAGGAAGUACACAGCAGUCUCCUGCUACUCCUAAAAGGACAAGCGCCAAGUCAAUUAGGAUGGAACAAGGAGCAAAGCUGCUUACAAUGGCGAGUUGUUUGCAGAAGAGACACUGCAGGAACUGUCUGAGCUGUGAUUGGAGUGGGUCUCCUCAGGCUCUCUUCACAUCCAUGUGCCAAAUGAACCUGUGAAUAUCAGUGGUUCUUAACAUUACCAUUGGUCUAGGCUACAUAAAGAUCUUGGCAAGGAUUUAAAACCACACUUGUGUGCAUUCAUCUGACUGGUUGUGACUGGGAGAGUCCCCUCCCCCCCAACUGUAUCUCAAGACUGUCUAAGUCUGCAGUAACCCAGUACCAGUCUGGACAAUACUUCCCAUAGGGCUGUGGUGUCAGUACUGAAGGGAAGAAAAGUAGAGGUCACAGUGUCCAUGGUGUGAGGUGGAAAGCAAUGGUAUCAUGUAGUAGCAGCUCUGUGUGUAGGCUACCUGAAGAAGUUAUAUGCAGUGAAAAACACUUAUUCACCAUGGGUUGAUGCAUAGUAGGCUGCUGAGUGAAGAAUGUCUCAUAAUAGUAGCCGGAACAGAGCAAAUGAAGGGCAUUAAACACCUGGAAACCAUGUGUUUGAUGUAUUUGAUACCAUUCUACUGAUUCAGCUCCAGUCAUUACCACAAGCCCGUUUUCCCAGAUUAAGGUUCCACCAACCUGUGGCUGAUAGAGAAUAAAUAUGGAAAACAUAAGUGACAGCAAUUGUUUUUUCAGUGUUCUAAUUAGCGGGAUCAAAUGUCAACAAUAUGUGAUUUAUAGAGGCCUAUUAGAUUUGUUGUGCUGUGAAGCUGGCUGCUAGACUCAAAAUAAAAACUGACCAGAUGGAUAUUCCCUGUCAAGCAGAAGCAAAUCA